UGUGUCCUUAUAUGGUCUUUCCUUUGUGUGUCUGUAUCCUGAUCUCUUCUUUAGGGACACUAGUCAUAUUGGAUCAGGGCCCACCCUAAUGACCUCAUUUCAAUGUACUCACCUCUUUCCAGGCCCUAUCUCCAAACAACCCGCAUUUCCUCAAAAAUGCGGACUUCAACAUGUCUUUUGGGGGAACAAAGACUUUUGGGGAACAAAGUCUUUGGAGGAACACAGGUCAGACCAUGAUGCCUUGCCCAGCUCACUCCAAACAUGCUGAGCCUCAGUGUCUUCGUCGAUGAAAUGGGGUGGAUCAGAGGGGGCCAUGGACCUCCUGGUACCUCUUCACCCCUUUGCUCACCAGUUUGGUUAUUCCCUCCAGGCUAAACCAUCUGCUAAGGCCACACUGGACCUUGAAAAGAUACUAAUUGUGAGGGUGAUGGCA